CAGUCGCCGCGGUAAUACGUAGGGUGCGAGCGUUAAUCGGAACUACUGGGCGUAAAGCGUGCGCAGGCGGUUGUGUAAGACAGGUGUGAAAUCCCCGGGCUUAACCUGGGAACUGCGCUUGUGACUGCACAGCUAGAGUAUGGCAGAGGGGGGUGGAAUUCCACGUGUAGCAGUGAAAUGCGUAGAGAUGUGGAGGAACACCGAUGGCGAAGGCAGCCCCCUGGGCCAAUACUGACGCUCAUGCACGAAAGCGUGGGGAGCAAACAGGAUUAGAUACCCGCGUAGUCCCUGUCUCUUAUAC
rnacentral:rRNA from 1 species